rnacentral:rRNA from 1 species
AUACGGAGGGUGCAAGCGUUAAUCGGAAUUACUGGGCGUAAAGCGUGCGUAGGCGGUUUGUUAAGUCAGAUGUGAAAGCCCCGGGCUUAACCUGGGAACUGCAUUUGAUACUGGCAAACUAGAAUGUGGUAGAGGGAAGUGGAAUUCCUCAUGUAGCGGUGAAAUGCGUAGAUAUGAGGAGGAACACCAGUGGCGAAGGCGACUUCCUGGACCAACAUUGACGCUGAGGUACGAAAGCGUGGGGAGCAAACAGGAUUAGAAACCCCGGUAGUCC